ACAUAAGACAUGCAAGUCGAACGGAAGUCGUUAUAAUUGAAAUGAUGAAGAUUAUCAGAUGAAGUGAAGUUAUAACAAUGGCUUAGUGGCGGACUGGUGAGUAACGCGUGAGCAACCUGCCUGUUAGAGGGGAAUAACAGUGAGAAAUCAUUGCUAAUACCGCAUAUGCCAUAGUAGUCACAUGACUAUAGUGGGAAAGGAGCAAUCCGCUAACAGAUGGGCUCGCGUCUGAUUAGAUAGUUGGUGGGGUAACGGCCUACCAAGUCGACGAUCAGUAGCCGGACUGAGAGGUUGAACGGCCACAUUGGGACUGAGAUACGGCCCAGACUCCUACGGGAGGCAGCAGUCGGGAAUAUUGCGCAAUGGAGGAAACUCUGACGCAGUGACGCCGCGUAUAGGAUGAAGGUCUUCGGAUUGUAAACUAUUGUCGUUAGGGAAGAGAAAGGACAGUACCUAAGGAGGAAGCUCCGGCUAACUACGUGCCAGCCGCCGC
rnacentral:rRNA from 1 species